UCCAGACUUGGUUGGAAUGCAUGGAGUCUAACUCUGACUUCAUAGCUUCCAGCCAUUUCUUGGAAUCGAUAUCAGAUAUCGCCUCGUUGUAGGUUUUGGGAUCCUGUAUGUGAUCCCUAUCUCCCACUAGGAAUAUUUCCUCGGUAUCCUCUUCUAGUAUACCUAAGUAUCUAUCGGGAGGAUGGGAGACCCUACUAGAUCUGCGAGGUGGUUGAGGGACCUCGUGUACUGGCUCU
rnacentral:lncRNA from 1 species